UACGUAGGGGGCAAGCGUUGCUCGGAAUCAUUGGGCGUAAAGCGCACGUAGGCGGCCUCAAAAGUCGGAUGUGAAAUCCCGUGGCUCAACCAUGGACGUGCAUUCGAAACUGCGAGGCUUGAGUAUGGAAGAGGGUCGCGGAAUUCCCGGUGUAGAGGUGAAAUUCGUAGAUAUCGGGAGGAACACCAGUGGCGAAGGCGGCGACCUGGGCCAAUACUGACGCUGAGGUGCGAAAGCGUGGGGAGCAAACAGG
rnacentral:rRNA from 1 species